rnacentral:rRNA from 1 species
CACGUAGGGCGCAAGCGUUGUCCGGAAUUAUUGGGCGUAAAGAGCUCGUAGGCGGUCCGUCACGUCCGCUGUGAAAACCCAGGGCUCAACCCUGGGCUUGCAGUGGAUACGGGCAGACUAGAGGUAGGUAGGGGAGAAUGGAAUUCCCGGUGUAGCGGUGAAAUGCGCAGAUAUCGGGAGGAACACCGGUGGCGAAGGCGGCAUCCUGGACCAACACUGACGCUGAGGAGCGAAAGCCAGGGGAGCAAACGGG